rnacentral:rRNA from 1 species
AGAGUUUGAUCCUGGCUCAGAACGAACGCUGGCGGCAGGCUUAACACAUGCAAGUCGAACGCUCGUAGCAAUACGGGAGUGGCAGACGGGUGAGUAACGCGUGGGAACAUACCCUCCGGUUCGGAAUAGCUCAGGGAAACUUGGAUUAAUACCGGAUACGGCUGAGAGGCGAAAGAUUUAUCGCCGGAGGAUUGGCCCGCGUUCGAUUAGCUUGUUGGUGAGGUAACGGCUCACCAAGGCGAUGAUCGAUAGCUGGUCUGAGAGGAUGAUCAGCCACAUUGGGACUGAGACACGGCCCAAACUCCUACGGGAGGCAGCAGUGGGGAAUAUUGGACAAUGGGCGCAAGCCUGAUCCAGCCAUGCCGCGUGAGUGAUGACGGCCUUAGGGUUGUAAAGCUCUUUCGCUCGGGACGGUAAUGACGGUACCGAGAUAAGAAGCCCC